rnacentral:rRNA from 1 species
UUCUCCUAAAGACUAAGCCAUGCAUGCCUUCGAAUAAGAGGAAGCAAUUCUCUCUGAAUCUGCGAACGGCUCCGCAAACCAGUUGUAAACUACAGCAAGCCCGCUUGGGCCUGGCCUUCACGGGUCGGGUUCAGGCAAUACGGAUAACCCUGGUAAUUCUGAGGCUAAUACGAGAACGUAACCCCUGGCCGACCGGCAACGGAAGGCUGGGGAACGUGUGACAAUCUCGCGAGGAAUCUUGCCGGGAAUCGGGUGCACGUUCAGACCGCGCUACAAAGGAAUGGUCGCCCCGUUAAACGGGCGGCUUGCCCUAGCGGCUCUUGCGUUGUGCUUCUGACCUAUCAACUAGAUGGCAGCGUAACGGACAUGCUAUGGUGACAACGGGUACAGAGGAUUAGGGUUCGAUCCUGGAGAGUGGGCCUGAGAGAUUGCUCAUACUUCUAAGGAAGGCAGCAGGCGCGCAACGUUCCCCUUGGGCAAUGCUCGAGGGCGUUAGGGGACAUAUGAAUGCCUGCCCUUUGGGUGGGCAAUUCAAAUGGGUCUGUUGUAAACGGGCUCUCGAGUAACAAUUAGAGGACAAGUCUGGUGCCAGCACCCGCGGUAAUUCCAGCUCUAAUAGCAUACGUUAAAGUUGUUGCAGUUAAAACGCUCGUAGUCGGCUUCAGGUCAUCAGAAGCCGGCGUCGGAAGCCUGGGUUCGCUGCCCUUCGGGGCGCACUGGGUGACUGGCAAAGGUAGGCGGUGGUCAAGCGUGCUUCAGGCUGCCUUCUUCGGAAGUCGCAGGGCCGUCGGCGUCUUCACGGGCGCCUUCGGUUCGGCUUGGGGUGCCACUUACUGUGAUUAAACUGGCGUGAUCAAAGCAGGCCGCUCGGUCACUGCACAGCGCAGCACAGCAUAAGUUAAGCCGGCUUAGUCCUUCCUCGUGGGGGCUGGGUUGGCAGAAGCAAAAGGGGUGUUCGAGGGUGACCGAAUUGCUGGGCGAGUGGUGAAAUACGUUGACCCUAGCAAGUCGACCAAAGGCGAAAGCAGUCAUCAAGGGCACGCCCGUUGAUCAAGAGCGAAAGUUAAGGGUUCGAAGACGAUCAGAUACCGUCGUAGUCUUAACUAUAAAUGAUACUGACCAGCGAUAGGACUCCGUCCAUCUUGACUUCUCCCGGAGCUUAGAGAAAUCAAAGUCUUUGGGUUCUGGGGGGAGUAUGGUCGCAAGGCUGAAACUUAAAGGAAUUGACGGAAGGGCACACAAAGAGUGGAACCUGCGGCUUAAUUUGACUCAACACGGGAAAACUCACCAGGUCCAGAUACACGUAUGAAAGACAAGCUGAAAGACUUUUCUCAAUGAUGUAAGUGGUGGUGCAUGGUCGUUCUUAGUUCGUGGAGUGAUUUGUCUGGUCUAUUCCGAUAACGAGCGAGACCCCUACGUCCCUAAUAGGGGCGGCAGCCCGGCUUGCUCCCUUCACGGGGGGCUUGCUAGCAGCCGUCAUAGAAAUAGCUUCUUAGGCGUAUCAGAGCCGAUAAGGUUCUUGAAAUGGGUUAAUAACAGGUCAGUCAUGCCCUUAGAUGUUCUGGGCCGCACGCGCGUUACAAUGGCAUGGAGAGAAAGUGCCCGUCAGGGGCGUAUCCGCGGCCUACAGGUCGCGGUAACCCCUAGUCCCUGCCUUGACUGGGACAGACUAUUGCAAUUAUUGGUCUCAAACGAGGAAUUUUUAGUAGUCGCCGGUCAUUAACCGGCGACGAAUGCGUCCCUGCCCUUUGUACACACCGCCCGUCGCUGCUACCGAUUGGGUUUUGCGGUUACGAGUCCAGAGGCCUGCGGCUCGCUACUUGCUCACGCAGGUGGUAACCGUGGCCGAAGUUCUAAUUACCGCACGGUCUAGAGGAAGCAGAAGUCGUAACAAGGUAAUCG